rnacentral:rRNA from 1 species
GAUUUUAGCAUGGAAUAAUGGAAUAGGACGUGUGGUUCUAUUUUGUUGGUUUCUAGGACCGCCGUAAUGAUUAAUAGGGACAGUCGGAGGCAUCAGUAUUCAAUUGUCAGAGGUGAAAUUCUUGGAUUUAUUGAAGACUAACUACUGCAAAAGCAUUUGCCAAGGAUGUUUUCAUUAAUCAGGAACGAAAGUUAGGGGAUCGAAGACGAUCAGAUACCGUCGUAGUCUUAACCAUAAACUAUGCCGAUUAGGGAUCGGACGGUGUUAUAUUUUGACCCGUUCGGCACCUUACGAGAAAUCAAAGUGCUUGGGCUCCAGGGGGAGUAUGGUCGCAAGGCUGAAGCUUAAAGAAAUUGACGGAAGGGCACCACCAGGGGUGGAGCCUGCGGCUUAAUUUGACUCAACACGGGGAAACUCACCAGGUCCAGACACAAUGAGGAUUGACAGAUUGAGAGCUCUUUCUUGAUUUUGUGGGUGGUGGUGCAUGGCCGUUCUUAGUUGGUGGAGUGAUUUGUCUGCUUAAUUGCGAUAACGAACGAGACCUUAACCUGCUAAAUAGCCCGUAUUGCUUUGGCAGUACGCUGGCUUCUUAGAGGGACUAUCGGCUCAAGCCGAUGGAAGUUUGAGGCAAUAACAGGUCUGUGAUGCCCUUAGAUGUUCUGGGCCGCACGCGCGCUACACUGACGGAGCCAGCGAGUACUUCCUUGGCCGAAAGGCCCGGGUAAUCUUGUUAAACUCCGUCGUGCUGGGGAUAGAGCAUUGCAAU